GCAUAUCAAUAAGCGGAGGAAAAGAAACCAACAGGGAUUGCCUCAGUAACGGCGAGUGAAGCGGCAACAGCUCAAAUUUGAAAUCUGGCCCCCUCGGGGGGCCCGAGUUGUAAUUUGCAGAUUGUGCUUUUGGCGAGGCGCCUUCCGAGUUCCCUGGAACGGGACGCCACAGAGGGUGAGAGCCCCGUCUGGUCGGCCGCCAAGCCUCUGUAAAGCACCUUCGACGAGUCGAGUAGUUUGGGAAUGCUGCUCAAAAUGGGAGGUAUAUGUCUUCUAAAGCUAAAUACCGGCCAGAGACCGAUAGCGCACAAGUAGAGUGAUCGAAAGAUGAAAAGCACCUUGAAAAGGGGGUUAAACAGUACGUGAAAUUGUUGAAAGGGAAGCGCUCGCGACCAGACUUGGGCCCGGCGGAUCACCCAGCGUUCUCGCUGGGGCACUCCGCCUCGUCCCAGGCCAGCAUCGGUUCGCGCCGGGGGACAAAGGCGGCGGGAACGUGGCUCCCCCGGGAGUGUUAUAGCCCGCCGCGCAAUGCCCUGGGGCGGACCGAGGAUUCGCGCAUCUGCAUGGAUGCUGGCGUAAUGGUCACCAGCGACCCGUCUUGAAACACGGACC
rnacentral:rRNA from 1 species